rnacentral:rRNA from 1 species
CACCGCGGUUAUACGAGGGGCCCAAACCAAUAUUCAACGGCGUAAAGUGUGAUUAAAGGAUAAUUUAAACUAAAGAAAAACGUCCCCUAAGCUGUUAUACGCUAACGGAGAGACUGAAAAUCUACAACGAAAGUGACUUUAUAACCCUUGAACUCACGACCAUUAAGGAA